GUGCUCAUUCAGCAGUACAUAUACUAAAAUUGGAAUAAUACAGAGAAGAUUACCAUGGCCCCUGAAUAAGGAUGACAUGCAAAUUUGUGAAGCAUUCCAUAUUUAA
rnacentral:snRNA from 1 species